rnacentral:rRNA from 1 species
UACGUAGGGGGCAAGCGUUGUCCGGAUUUAUUGGGCGUCAAGAGCGUGUAGGCGGUUUGGUAGGUCCGCUGUGAAAACUCGAGGCUCAACCUCGAGAUGUCGGUUGAAACCACCUGGCUAGAGUCCGGAAGAGGAGAAUGGAAUUCCCGGUGUAGCGGUGAAAUGCGCAGAUAUCGGGAAGAACACCCGUGGCGAAGGCGGUUCUCUGGGACGAUACUGACGCUGAGACGCGAAAGCGUGGGGAGCGAACAGG